CUCCAUCACUAAUCAGUCACGGAAAAACGAUUCGCUGGAAAAUAUACGUGCACGCAUCUGCCUCCUCGGCUCAACCCUGCCUGUGCCCAGGCCGAGCCAAAUCCCUCGGCCGCCGACCUCAACCCGCCCACCGCCGACCUCAACCCGCCCGCUGCCGCGGCCGCCUCCUGCCCGCCUCACCGCGCGCCGCCGCCCGCCUCCUGCCCGGCCCGCGCCGCCACCGCCUACCCGCCUCCCAUCUUGGUCCCCGAGCGCCCGACCCGGCCGUCGUUCGUCACCAGCACCUGCGGAUCCGGCCGCCCCUCGCCUUCCUCGUCGGCUGCACCUCCCAGCGCCGCCACCCCACCCCUGCCAAGCUCCACCGCUGGAGGAUCUCCGCCGC
rnacentral:rRNA from 1 species